rnacentral:rRNA from 1 species
UACGGGGGGGGGCAAGCGUUGUUCGGAAUUACUGGGCGUAAAGGGCUCGUAGGUGGCCAACUAAGUCAGACGUGAAAUCCCUCGGCUUAACCGGGGAACGGCAUCUGAUACUGGAUGGCUUGAGAUUGGGAGAGGGAUGCGGAAUUCCAGGUGUAGCGGUGAAAUGCGUAGAUAUCUGGAGGAACACCGGUGGCGAAGGCGGCAUCCUGGACCAACACUGACGCUGAGGAGCGAAAGCCAGGGGAGCAAAGCGGGG